rnacentral:lncRNA from 1 species
GUGAUUACCACAUGUCAGGCAGGUCCUGUGUCAAAUGUUUCACAUACAUUUUAUCAUCAUCACCAUUAGCAAGUUUCAGAGCUGGGAUUUAAAUUCAGGCAGACUGAUUCCAGUAUCUUUUCUGCAUAUCAUUAAUUAAGAAGACUUUUUUUUUCAGUGCUGUGAAUUAUUGAACCCAGGGGUGCUCUACCACUGAGAGACAUCCCAGCCCUUUUUUAAAAAUUUUAUUUAUUUACUUUUAUGUGGUGCUGAGGAUCGAACCCAGUGCCUCACAUGUGCUAGGCAAGUGCUCUGCCACUGAGCCACAACCCCAACCCCAUCCCAGACCUUUUUAUUUUUCAUUUUGAGACAGGGACUCCCUAAGUUGCUGAGGCUUGAACUUGUGAUCCUCCUUCCUUAGCCUCCUGAGUAGCUGGGAUCAUAGGCGUGAGCUGCCAUGCCUGACUCCUGUCAGCUCUUGAAGUGUAGCUAUUCCUUGUCUAACUGCCCAGUCAAUAGCUCCACUUGGAUAUUUCACACAUUUAUCAAAACGGAGCUUCCAAUUCUAUGUUAUUCCACCUUCCUUCUCUGGUCUUUUCCAUCGUAUUUUACCAUUGUCUGUCUCGUUGUUUAAGCCAGAAAUGCAGAAGUCAUCCUGCUCCCAUUCCUACCUCUUAAGAUGCAGUCCAACUUCAGUUCCUGAAGUCUUUCUCCAAAAUAUAUUUAAAAUCCCUCAUUCUGCAUGUCUUGGCCACCACCUUACUAUAAGGCACUGCCUUCUCUGCUUUCUUCCCAUUUCUUUGUUCCUCCUCCCUCCUUCCUCCACAUAGCUGACAGUGAUACUAACACCCAAACAGACCAUAUCUCUGUCCUUCAGUGAUUUCCUAUAGGUCUUAAAAUAAAACCCUAACUCCUUAUCACGAUGGAAAAGUCCUGUGGCCCCUAGUCACAGCUUACUCCUCAGCCUUCACCUGGGGCCGUUCGUUCUCUUAGCCACUUUUUGGUUUCAGAGAAUCACCAAGAUCUUUCCUAGGGCUUCUCUCUUCUUGGAAGGCUCCCCGUGGCUCUUGACACAGCUGACUCAUUCUUUUCUUUCAGAGCUGAACUUAAUGAUAGUUUCUGAGAGUGUUGCCCUAUUCUCUGUUUCAGUGUGGUUUUGGUUUCUCUCCUACAUCACACUUUGAAAUUAUUUCGUUUUUCUACUUACUUACUCUUUUCUUUUCCUUCUACCCUAUCUGCUUUCUUCUCUUUUUUCUUGUUUCUCCCAUGCAAGCUUUGUGAGGUUAGGACUCACAAUUCACCUUUGUGUCAACCAUACCUAGCAAAUUGCCAGACACUUAGAAGAGGCCUCGUGGUAUUUGUUAAAUAAGAAAAUGCAUCUUCUUUAUUUUCUAGCAUAGUACAUAGAAUAAACUAAGAUACACAUGGGGAGUUUGAUUUGGUUUCUUCUAAGCAGAGACCAGAUUUCCCUAAACAACAAUUACCCACAGUGAGCCCAUUUUAUUUCUUAUUUAUUUUACCUAAGCACAUUUAUUCAUUUUACUUUCCUCUGUACCUAGGGUAUUCUCAUAGGAAAAAGAAGUUACAGAAUUCAAGGUAAGAAUAGGAAUGGGAGAAGGAGAAUCUGAGCGGCCCCCUACCCUAAUAUAGCUUUGAUUUUUGCCCUGAGAAGGUUUGGCCUGGGGUUUGGGGGGUCUAAGCUUGUAUUUCUUUUGCCUGCAGUCUAAUUAUGAAAUGCAAAUUUAACAUGCUGCUCUGUUUGCUCCCUGAUCCGGUUAGCUUCCUUAGUUCUAAUGUUAAGGUAUAGAAUUUAUCUCCCUAUUAUUAAGAAAUGCUUAUUUAUCUCUGUAUUAAUGGGGAUUUUUUUCAGUGAACUGAAACCUCAACUUAGUGAGCACUUACUAUGUCCAGGGGGGUCAGGGCUGGACACUGAGGUAACCAAAGUGAACAGGAAAACCAGUCUGUUUUCAGGGUUUUUAUAGCCCCACUCAGGCUUUUCAGCUGAUGAUGUAUAGGAUCACCAGGGCACUUAAGCCAACUGAUGCAGGACCAGCCCUGUAGCAACUGAAUUGGAAUUUUGAUGAUGAGGACUGAGCAGGUGUUUCUCUGAAAGCUCUCUGGGUGGUUCUGUUGUGUAGUCAGGGCUGAGAGUUAAUUCGGGUCCCUGUCUUCAUCAUCAUUCCUUACUAUUUACACCAUCCAUUCCUGAUCGACAUAAGUCACACCCUUAUCAGAUUUUCCAGUUUUAGUAACAUUUGGUGCAUUACAAGAAUGUAAUGUAUUUUGAGAAGCAAAUGACUGUCCAUUAAAUACUAUCUAAAUCACUGAUCAUUUUAGACUAAGAUAAAUGUGGUAUAUUAUAAAGACAAAAUAACAUGUAAUAAGAAGUCAAAAAAGUAACAAGUAAAAUAUUCAAUGAUUAGUGUUCUUCAUUAAAGCAGAAAUUGGGAAAUAUGACUAUUAUUCAGAGGUAACAUUGAUAGGAAUUAAUUCAUCAUUUAUGAAGUUAUAUGAUUAAUGUUCAUCCCUGUCUACAAAUUGUAAACUCCACAGAAAAUUAGGAACUUGUCUGCCAUAUUAAUGACUGUAUCCCCAGAAUAGUGCCUGAUCCUAUUAACAAUCAAUAUUAAUGAUGGAAUAAAUUAGUAUUUUUCACGGUUGACCUGUGAGGCAGGACUCACAUUAUUUCCAUAUUACAGACAAGGAUACUAAAACACAAAGUUUACUAACACUUAACCUCCAUGGGAUUUUUGUGUUCCAUUCAAUUCUGUCUCUCUAGUUGCAUAGAACAGUGUAUAACAUACUAAUUAUUUCUUGAAUGAAAACAAAACAGAGUGUACGCCUGUAAUUCUAGCAACUCAGGAGGCUGAGGUAGAAGGAUUGCAAGUUCAAGGCCAGCCUUAGCAAUUUAGUGAGGCUCUAAGCAACUUAGUGGGAUCCUGUCACAAAAUUAAAAACAACAACAAAAAAAUAUGGAAAGGGCUGGGAAUGUGGCUCAGUGAUUGACAGCCCCUGGGUUCAAUCCCUGGUACUCAAACAACAACCACCACCAAAACCAAAAAAACAACAACAAAAAAGAUUUAUGCAAAUCUUAAAGCUAGCAUGUAUCAGAGAAUUUGAACUCUCGUCUGAUUGGAUCUACAACAUAAUUGUUCCCAUUUAUUUUUCCUUUUGAAAUUGUUCAAGCUCACAGAAAAAUUGGAAUGACAGUGCAAGGAACAACAGAACCUCCACCUGAACUCCACAUGUGGCAUGCGGCACAUUCUGGCUUUGUCCAUUUCUCGAUAUGCACAAGGGUUUUUCUGAACUAUUUGUAAGGAAGUUGUAGACAUCUUGACACUUCACCUAAACAUUUCAGCUUUUGACCACUAAGAAUAAGGAUAAGCAGUUUUUCUAUCUAAGAAAAAUGAAGUUAAUUCAGAUUUUCUCAGAUAGUCCCCGAAUUAUUUUAUGGCUUUUCCCCCCAGUCGACAUCCAAUCAAAGAUCAUACAUGUCUCUUCAGCAAAGCCUAAUCUUAUUAUUAUUAUUAUUAUUUUUGGUAUCAGAAAUUGAACUCAGGGGAACCUGGCCACUGAGCCACAUCCCCAGCCCUAUUUUGUAUUUUAUUUAGAGACAGGGUCUAACUGAGUUGCCAUUGCUGAGGCUGGCUUUGAACUCGCGAUCCUCCUGUUUUCAGCCUCCUGAGCUGCGGGGAUUACAGGCGCAUGCCUCCACACCCAUCUUAAAGCCUAAUCUUUUAACCUCGUUCCAUGUUGCCUGCGGAAUGCUUAAAUCAACCCCAACACUUUUCUUUUCACAGUCUCAUCACGCUGGCCAACCCCCGUCCCUCAGGAUUGGCAAAUGCAGCAGCAGACAGGAUGCGCUCAGAGGAGAACAUCUACAUCAUUGAGGAAAACAUAUAUGAGAUGGAGGACCCGAAUGAGGACUACUGCUAUAUCAGCAGUGAGCAGCAAUACUGACCACCUCUGGGUUCUCACCUUUUUAUGCCAUUGAAUCCAGCACCUUCAUUUUUGACCUUGGUGUUGUUUUUUUCAAAACUAAGACGUGUCAGCUAACUGGUUUUACAGGUUCUGUCCAGGGGCAUGAAGAAGAGUGUUCCUAUUUUCUGGAGAUAAUUAGCUCACAUUGGGGUUCAACCGUGACCUUUGCUGUACAUCAUUACCUCUGUAUCCCAGCUAACAGGGGUAUCCAACCCAGAGACUGCCAAUCAUGGGCAUUAGACUUCAAAUGUACUUUUAUGCACAUUAGGGAUUCUUGAUAUGAAAUCUCUCCAAGAAAUUCAGGCUUAUGAUGUGACUGUGAAGCUCCUGAAAAUGUAGAGUAUACUGUGUGUCGAGACAUGUGCUUUUCUUCUUCAGUACAGACAGUCUAAAGGGGCACUGAUUUUCAUGGAGGUCUAUAAUCCUUAAAAGGGUCCAAUAAGCCGAAUGUUGUGGUACAUACCUGUAAUCCCAGCAAUUUGGGAGAUUGAGGCAAGAGGAUUCCAAGUUGGAGGCCAGCUUCAGCAACUUGGCAAGGCCCUAAGUGACUUAUGGAGAUACUAUCUUAAAAUAAAAAAUAAAAAGCUUGAAA